GAUUUGUACCCCAAAGAGAUAAUAAGAAAAAAUACAUGUACAAGAAUAUUCAUAAAUGCGCUCUUUGUGGUGGCCAAAAAUUGGAAAAUGAGAGGAUGCCCUUCAGUUGGAGAAUGGCUGAACAAAUUGUGAUGUAUGUUGGUGAUGGAAUAAUAUUGUGCUCAAAGGAAGUAAUAAUGUGGAGGAAUUCCAUGGUGACUGGAACAAGCUCCAGGAUGUGAUGCAGAGCAAAAGUAGCAGAACCAGGAGAACAAUGUACACAGAGAUUGUACUGUAGUACAAUCUAAUGUGAUGGACUUCUCCAUUAGUAGCCAUUCAGUGAUCCUGAACAACUUGUAGGAAUCUAAGAGAAAAAGCAUUAUCCACAUUCAAAGGAAAACCUGGGAGUAGAAAUACAGAAGAAAAACAACUUCUAGAGGGCAUAUGGUUGGGGAUGUAGACUCUAAAUGAUCAUCCUAAUGUAAUCACCAACAACCUGGAAAUAGGUUCUGAUCAAGGACACAAAUAAUACCCAGUUAAAUUGUGCAUUGGCUGCGGGAAAGCUCGGCUUCCAGCUAUGCAGUCUACUCUGAGAUGAGGAGCCCCCUAACAGGAUAGUGCUUUCAGAGGUAAAGGAAAGGAGGAAUCAGCCUAACCACUCACCCAGGUCGCUCAGGGAAGAUGCCUCACAUAACCCACAUUACAAAGCUUCCUCAGUGACCUCCUCAGCAAGCCUCAACUGCCAAACCACCAAGACGCCCAGCUUGCUGCCACAAGCCACACGAGCCAGAAAGAGAGCCACUUCUCUGCGAAAGAGAGCCCAGAGAGGAAAUGAUGCAAAAUAUAUAGACCGUUCUUUAAAUCA